rnacentral:rRNA from 1 species
GUGCCAGCCGCCGCGGUAAUACGGGGGGGGCAAGCGUUGUUCGGAAUUACUGGGCGUAAAGGGCUCGUAGGCGGCCAACUAAGUCCGACGUGAAAUCCCCAGGCUUAACCUGGGAACUGCGUCGGAUACUGGAUGGCUUGAAUUCGGGAGAGGGAUGCAGAAUUCCAGGUGUAGCGGUGAAAUGCGUAGAUAUCUGGAGGAAUACCGGUGGCGAAGGCGGCAUCCUGGACCGACAUUGACGCUGAGGAGCGAAAGCUAGGGGAGCAAACGGGAUUAGAAACCCCAGUAGUCC